GGGGGCGUUGGCUCAGUGGUAGAGCAUCUGCCUUGAAUUCUUAAGGUCCCAGGUUCAAUCCCUGGCAUCUCCA